rfam:Hordeum vulgare subsp. vulgare, WGS project CAJW01000000 data, contig: morex_contig_2546586
AUCUUAUUCCCUCCGUCCGAAAAUACUUGUCGGAGAAAUGAAUAAAAAUGGAUGUAUCUAGAAUUAUAAUACGACUAGAUACAUCCAAUCCUUCAACAAGUAUUUUCUGAUGGAGAGAGUAUUAU